GGCUUGUUGAUUUUAAUUUCAAGUCAGGCCUGCCCAAUGAGUAAGGUUGAAUGGCCGCGGUAUUUUAACCGUGCAAAGGUAGCAUAAUCAUUAGUUUUUUAAUUGAAAGCUUGUAUGAAAGGUUCGAUGAGAAAAUUUCUGUCUCUGGAAAAAUUAAUUAGAAUUUUAUUUUUAAGUUAAAAAGCUUAAAUGUGUAUAGAAGACGAGAAGACCCUAUAGAGUUUUAUACCUACUUUAUAAUAGACUAUAAGAAUUAAAAAGUUAGUUAUGUCUGUGGGUAUUUUGUUGGGGUGACAGGAAAAUUUAAAGAACUUUUUUAUUUAUAUAAACAUUGAUACAUGAGUUGAUGAUCCUAGAAUUUAGAUUAUAAGAUAAAAUUACCUUAGGGAUAACAGCGUAAUUUUUCUUAGAGUUCUUAUUAAAUGAAAAGAUUGCGACCUCGAUGUUGGAUUAAAAUUUAUUGGCGGUGAAGAAGCUGCUUAAAUUAGGUCUGUUCGACCUUUAAAAUUUUACAUGAUCUGAGUUUAGACCGGCGUGAG
rnacentral:rRNA from 1 species